ACCGAACCCCUGGCAGCAAUGUCAUGUGGAAUGUGGUGUGUGAGAGAGCCUCAUCACUUGAUGUAGACUAGUCCAAGUGCACCUUGACUGGGACCAUUGCCCAUAGAGGGUGAUAGGCCCGUACGGCAGUCCACAUCUUGUGCUGGCAUCUUCUCCAGAGUCGAGUUGCUUGGGAGUGCAGCUCAAAGCGCGAGGUAAACUCCUCGUAAGACUAAAUAUGACCCCAAGACCGAUAGCGAACAAGUACCGUGAGGGAAAGUUGAAAAGGACUUUGAAGAGAGAGUUCAAGAGUACGUGAAACUGCAUAGUGGGAAACAGAGGCGUUCUCGAAGUUUGGAGCAGAGAUUCAGGUUUUUGGCUAACCGCUCAAUAGCUGUAUUUCUCUGUGUCUGAACACAACGGAUCGUUCGAGCUAAUGACGGACAGAGCAAGAAGUUAAUUUUCUGCCCUUGUUCCGAUUUUGGUUCUUGCGGUGUUUUGCGUUGCAUGUUGCUUCGCGUGUUGUUGUGAGUAGGUCGGCGGCGUCUCUGACCCGUCUUGAAACACGGACCAAGGAGUCUAACAUGUGUGCAAGUCGCAGAGUUUACUAAACUCUUGGGCGUAGUGAAAGCAAAUUUAAGGAUGAUCAGCUCUCCUCGUGGGGGUUGCGCAAUCCUGGCGUUUUGUAUUGACCUCGUUUCAUGCAGAA
rnacentral:rRNA from 1 species